GAGGUAACUGAUGGAACAAGCAUCGGGCGGUA
rnacentral:scRNA from 1 species